rnacentral:rRNA from 1 species
CCGACCAAGGAAAGGGACGGACUAACUACGUCGCCAGCAGCCGACGGUAAUACGGUACGGUACCCGAGCGUUGUCCGGAUUUAUUGGGCGUAAAGCGAGCGCAGGCGGUUUGAUAAGUCUGAAGUUAAAGGCUGUGGCUCAACCAUAGUUCGCUUUGGAAACUGUCAAACUUGAGUGCAGAAGGGGAGAGUGGAAUUCCAUGUGUAGCGGUGAAAUGCGUAGAUAUAUGGAGGAACACCGGUGGCGAAAGCGGCUCUCUGGUCUGUAACUGACGCUGAGGCUCGAAAGCGUGGGGUGUCG